GACGAACGCUGGCGGCGUGCUUAACACAUGCAAGUCGAACGGAAAGGCCCUGCUUUUGUGGGGUGCUCGAGUGGCGAACGGGUGAGUAACACGUGAGUAACCUGCCCUUGACUUUGGGAUAACUUCAGGAAACUGGGGCUAAUACCGGAUAGGAGCUCCUGCUGCAUGGUGGGGGUUGGAAAGUUUCGGCGGUUGGGGCUGGACUCGCGGCUUAUCAGCUUGUUGGUGGGGUAGUGGCUUACCAAGGCUUUGCCGGGUAGCCGCCCUGAGAGGGUGACCGGCCACAUUGGGACUGAGAUACGGCCCAGACUCCUACGGGAGGCAGCAGUGGGGAAUAUUGCACAAUGGGCGGAAGCCUGAUGCAGCAACGCCGCGUGCGGGAUGACGGCCUUCGGGUUGUAAACCGCUUUCGCCUGUGACGAAGCGUGAGUGACGGUAAUGGGUAAAGAAGCACCGGCUAACUACGUG
rnacentral:rRNA from 1 species